rnacentral:rRNA from 2 species
UGGGGAAUAUUGCGCAAUGGGGGAAACCCUGACGCAGCAAUGCCGCGUGAAGGAUGAAGGUUUUCGGAUUGUAAACUUCUUUGACGAGGGACGAAAGAAAUGACGGUACCUCGAAAACAAGCCACGGCUAACUACGUGCCAGCAGCCGCGGUAAUACGUAGGUGGCGAGCGUUAUCCGGAAUUACUGGGUGUAAAGGGCGAGUAGGCGGGCAGACAAGUCAGAUGUGAAAACUACGGGCUUAACGUGUAGAUUGCAUUUGAAACUGUAUGUCUUGAGUGAUGGAGAGGCAGGCGGAAUUCCUAGUGUAGCGGUGAAAUGCGUAGAUAUUAGGAGGAACACCAGUGGAGAAGGCGGCCUGCUGGACAUUAACUGACGCUGAGGCGCGAAAGCGUGGGGAGCAAACAGG